rnacentral:rRNA from 1 species
GUGCCUAACACAUGCAAGUCGAACGCGAGGCGCCCUUUCGGGGGCGUAGUAGAGUGGCGCACGGGUGAGUAACACGUAGACAACCUGCCUUCGAGCCCGGGAUAACCUUUCGAAAGAAGGGCUAAUACCGGAUAACACUCCGAAUCGCAUGAUUUGGGGUUGAAAGGCUUGCUACUCGAAGAGGGGUCUGCGGGACAUUAGCUAGUUGGUGGGGUAACGGCCUACCAAGGCUCUGAUGUCUAGCGGGUCUGAGAGGAUGAUCCGCCACACUGGAACUGAGACACGGUCCAGA